UUCCCCCGCACGACUCUCUCUCUCCUCCUUCACAUCGUCCGUAUGCCACUGCCGCUCCUCACAUGCGCGUGCGACGCUAUUCGAUCCCUACCGUCAUCGCCGUUAUCCGUGGCCGCCGCUGCCGCAACCCUUUUUGCUUGAUCUCUAUCGGCAUUUUUGGUUCGGUAUCUCGUUGUCGUUGUCUCCGUCUUUGAAGAGGUUUCGGUGAUUAAUUUUUCGUGCAAUUUUCGACUGGAUAGCUUCUUAGCUUAGAAGCCGCUUUUGAGGUACCGAGAUUGAUUUGCUUGGCGGGGCUGAGACCGAGUGAACGUUAGACGUAGCUGUUUUGAUUUUAAUCCCUUUUAUUUUUCUAUCUAGUAUUUUUGGAUGUGAAUCUUUGGACUACGUAGAUAAUCGUUGUUAUCUGCUUUUGUUUCGUUAUUUCUUCGUACCCACUUUUGUUACUUAUGGUACGUUGUGGACCGAAUCUUUCUUGUGAUUCGUAGUAAGCUUUAAUUUUAUAGACGUUAGAAUUUCG